UGGGGAAUAUUGGACAAUGGGGGGAACCCUGAUCCAGCCAUGCCGCGUGUGUGAAGAAGGCCUUAUGGUUGUAAAGCACUUUAAGCGAGGAGGAGGGUACUGGUAUUAAUACUACCAGGUACUGGACGUUACUCGCAGAAUAAGCACCGGCUAACUCUGUGCCAGCAGCCGCGGUAAUACAGAGGGUGCGAGCGUUAAUCGGAUUUACUGGGCGUAAAGCGUGCGUAGGCGGCUAAUUGAGUCGGAUGUGAAAUCCCCGAGCUUAACGUGGGAAUUGCAUUCGAUACUGGUUAGCUAGAGUGUGGGAGAGGAUGGUAGAAUUCCAGGUGUAGCGGUGAAAUGCGUAGAGAUCUGGAGGAAUACCGAUGGCGAAGGCAGCCAUCUGGCCUAACACUGACGCUGAGGUACGAAAGCAUGGGGAGCAAACAGG
rnacentral:rRNA from 1 species